GGGCGGAGGCCCCACUGGAAUUUCCUGGCCUUUCGGCCCUCAUCCAACAAUGUCUCCGGGGCAUGUCAGCCCAGCUCCAGGAACUUGCGGGCAUACUCCGACACUGUCAUAUUACCCUGGACCAAUUGAGCAAAUUCCAUUUCCUUUAAAUGUUGGAUGUGUUUAGGGAGAUACUCCGCAUGGAAAGCCGCUAGGAACUGCUCCCAAGUAACUGGUACAGGCAGGGUGGCCCGCUUGAGCUCCCACCAGCGUACCGCUUCCCCUACCAGCAUGUAGGAGGCAAUGACAGUCCUCUGCUCAGGAAUUACCCCCAAAGUCUCAAAGGCUCUCUCAGUCUCUGCCAGCCAGUAUUGGGCCUCUUCGAAAGAGGAUCCCCCUGAAAAAGUAGAAGGGUUCAGUCUCCUGUACCUCUCUAUGAAGCCGGGGUCGAUCAAGGAG
rnacentral:lncRNA from 1 species